rnacentral:rRNA from 1 species
UAAUACGGAGGGGGCAAGCGUUAUUCGGAUUUACUGGGCGUAAAGGGUGCGUAGGCUGUCGCGCAAGUCUGAUGUGAAAUCUUCACCACUCAACGGGAAGAGGUCAUUGGAAACUGCGCGACUUGAGUUUGGUAGAGGCUAGCGGAAUUCCUGGUGUAGCGGUGGAAUGUGUAGAUAUCAGGAAGAACACCUGUGGCGAAGGCGGCUAGCUGGGCCAAUACUGACGCUGAGGCACGAAAGCGUGGGGAGCAAACGGGAUUAGAUACCCCGGUAGUCCACGCCGUAAACGGUGCACACUAGGUGUGGGGGGAUAUCGACCCCCUCCGUGCCGACGUUAACACAUUAAGUGCCCCGCCUGGGGAGUACGGCCGCAAGGCUA